AUACGUAGGGUGCGAGCGUUAAUCGGAAUUACUGGGCGUAAAGCGUGCGCAGGCGGUUGUGUAAGUCAGAUGUGAAAUCCCCGGGCUCAACCUGGGAACUGCAUUUGAGACUGCACGGCUAGAGUGUGGCAGAGGGGGGUGGAAUUCCACGUGCAGCAGUGAAAUGCGUAGAGAUGUGGAGGAACACCGAUGGCGAAGGCAGCCCCCUGGGUUAACACUGACGCUCAUGCACGAAAGCGUGGGUAGC
rnacentral:rRNA from 1 species